UGCAUAGUUAAAUUACUCUUUUUGUAACAUUGAGGGCCAAGGCUGUUAUGGAUGGUGCUUCUUGUUUGAGCUUCAUUUUGUAGGUUGAGGGUUUACAUUUACUGAUUAGUCGUUGUAUAUAGUGUUGAGACGGAUUGAACAUAGAUCGGUUUGGAAGAUGUUGAUGCUCUUUUUCAGUUUUGUCGUCCAUAACUCCAUAUCAGCAAUGUACAAAUUGUUAUCAAAGGGAAAAAAUUUUUUAGUAUUUGCCGAACAGCAUGAUGGAUAAUAAACUUUUAAGCAAUGGGUAUGAAGAUUU
rnacentral:lncRNA from 1 species